UCCGCCUCCUCGCGGGCGGGCGCGACGAAGAAGCGUCGCGGGUCUGUGGCGCGGGGCCCCGGUGGUCGUGUCGCGUGGGGGGCGGGUGGUUGGGGCGUCCGGUUCGCCGCGCCCCGCCCCGGCCCCACCGGUCCCGGCCGCCGCCCCCGCGCCCGCUCGCUCCCUCCCGUCCGCCCGUCCGCGGCCCGUCCGUCCGUCCGUCCGUCGUCCUCCUCGCUUGCGGGGCGCCGGGCCCGUCCUCGCGAGGCCCCCCGGCCGGCCGUCCGGCCGCGUCGGGGCCUCGCCGCGCUCUACCUACCUACCUGGUUGAUCCUGCCAGUAGCAUAUGCUUGUCUCAAAGAUUAAGCCAUGCAUGUCUAAGUACGCACGGCCGGUACAGUGAAACUGCGAAUGGCUCAUUAAAUCAGUUAUGGUUCCUUUGGUCGCUCGCUCCUCUCCUACUUGGAUAACUGUGGUAAUUCUAGAGCUAAUACAUGCCGACGGGCGCUGACCCCCUUCGCGGGGGGGAUGCGUGCAUUUAUCAGAUCAAAACCAACCCGGUCAGCCCCUCUCCGGCCCCGGCCGGGGGGCGGGCGCCGGCGGCUUUGGUGACUCUAGAUAACCUCGGGCUGAUCGCACGCCCCCCGUGGCGGCGACGACCCAUUCGAACGUCUGCCCUAUCAACUUUCGAUGGUAGUCGCCGUGCCUACCAUGGUGACCACGGGUGACGGGGAAUCAGGGUUCGAUUCCGGAGAGGGAGCCUGAGAAACGGCUACCACAUCCAAGGAAGGCAGCAGGCGCGCAAAUUACCCACUCCCGACCCGGGGAGGUAGUGACGAAAAAUAACAAUACAGGACUCUUUCGAGGCCCUGUAAUUGGAAUGAGUCCACUUUAAAUC
rnacentral:lncRNA from 1 species